ACUAAUAAGUGGGGAAAGCAGAGCCAUAAUGUAGUUAUAAUUGGCAAGACGCUGAGCAAUAUACCCGAGCAUAAAUACAGUUAGUAGCAAGUUGAGUGCUCAUACAAAAACAAGCCACAAGCUCGAUUCCCCCAAACGCGUGCUGUGAUUCAAUUAACCGUAUGAGGCGGCUACGUCAGCGACGACGACGGCGGCGGCACUUGAAGCUCAGCAAACCGAAGAACUAAAGUGAAACGAAUUGCCGCCGCAGCGGCUGAGUGAAUGAAUGCGAAUGUGAAGACCACAAGUGUGGCAAGAAUAAUUGCUAACAAAUAGCCUCAUGCCUAUGCACUCGUGUGUAUGUGAGUGUGGAAGUGUAAAACACAUAACCAACACUUGAGCGUGCUUUUUCAAAUCUCCUCCUUUACUGUGUGACAGAAAAGCAUCGUGAGUGUUUUGCUGUGUAUUUGUGUCUAAUUUCCUUACGAUCCCAAUUUAUUAACUCAUUUUCUUCUUUUUUUUGUUCCGACGUCGUCUAAUGGCAAAUAAAUUGCCUGUAACCUAAGCGCCCUGUUGCGCCACUUUAAUUAUGAUGCCACACUCGGUACAGAGGCGUUAAACGCCCAGUCGUAGCAGUGACUCGGCUAAGCGCCAGAAGCGACACUGCGAGUGUGUGUCUUGUGUUGCUCUCUUCUUGAGCCGCGCAACAGUUGCAGCUGUUGACUGCGGAUAAUAACUUUGCUUUGUUGAUUUUCUGAAAGCCUCUUUUCAGCUCAACAAAAAACAGCGGAAAAAUCAAAGGCAAAACACAAAAAUAUUCGUAUUAGUGCAGAUCUACAAAUAUAUGUACAUACAUAUGCCACAUACAUUUGCAGUGAGUUAAGUACCGCAGUGGUCAUAAGUGUCAAAUGAGCUCUUUUAAUUGGCUUAAAUAACGGUCUUGCUUAAGUGACACUGUUAAUUCGUGUCAGAAAAACAUAAAAAAUUUAUUUUUUCAAGUAAAAAAAAUAAUUAUUAUACCUUUCAUGCACAUAAAUUGACAUGUACUCGUAUAUAACUUUGGUCCGAAGCAUGUAAGUCUCAGAAGGAGAAGAGAUGGACUCAUCAAAAUCUGUACCCUCAGUUUGUGAUAUGUGAUCAUUUGUCGAAACCGCCCAGAUCGGACCUCUACAGCAUAUAACUGAGCGAAUUUUCAGCUUAGAGUUUUUUAGUCGUAAAUUUGGCAAAAUGGGAUCUAAGAGCGUGAAAUUUGGAAGAAAAUUAUCGAAAUCAAACGAUCUUAACAUAAAGCUUCCAUACACAGAUUUUUUCAGAUAUAAGACUUUGGUCAAAACUCCGGCAAAAAAAUCUCAGAGUAUGAAAUUGGGUAUUCUACAUUCGUAUCUGCAAAUGAACUAGUGUACAUAUAGUACAUACUUAUAUCUCCUUGCUUAGGAAUCUAUCAAAAAAGCAUAUACAGAAUUAUUCAUUUGCCAGUUUUGAAUAUAAAUGCUUCGCGAAUUUUUGCAAACUUCGAUCUGUUUGGGUAAUUGGUACGUGCGCAAGAGUUUAAGGUUUACCCGCAUAAGCACGGUCUCUCAGGAAGCCCCACAAAAGAUGUCCAACGGAAGAUCACGUGGCCGGAAAAUUUCUCUCGCGGUAUGGCAUGUGACACCACCUUGACUGAAACUACAAACCAAAUCGUUGGAAACGAGAAAAGGUCGUUUAUCACAAUGCGCCGAAUGGAUAGUGACAGUCCCGCCGUUGUCGUUUUCAAAGAAGCAAGAUCCAAUCAAACCUUCGGAGCAAAGAGCGCACCAAAUUUUACUUAUUUACGUAGCUGCCGAGUGAGAAAUGUGCCUCGUCGUUUUCAGACUUUCAACGUGUUGUGCGUUUGUUGUUCGGUAUAUUUUCGUGACUUGACUUUUAAAUGAAACAAAACAUGUUUGGUUUGACAGUUCAGUUUGACAAAUGAA